rnacentral:rRNA from 1 species
UACGUAGGGGGCAAGCGUUGUCCGGAUUUAUUGGGCGUAAAGAGCGUGUAGGCGGCCAUACAGGUCCGUUGUGAAAACUGGAGGCUUAACCUCCAGACGUCGAUGGAAACCGUAUGGCUAGAGUCCGGAAGAGGAGAGUGGAAUUCCUGGUGUAGCGGUGAAAUGCGCAGAUAUCAGGAAGAACACCCGUGGCGAAGGCGGCUCUCUGGGACGGUACUGACGCUGAGACGCGAAAAGCGUGGGGGAGCGAACAGG